GUCACACCCCGUCUCUCCUCGAAGCUUUUCUGCUGAUCCGUACGUUCGGUGCUAAAUUUAAUGUGCUAAACCCCUGCCGUGCGUGCAGGAAUUGUGUCAGCAGAAGAGGCCCCUCCUCCCCGGCGGUGCUGCCCUCAGCGUGUCUCCGUGCUCUCGGACAUUAACAAAUACCAGAUGGUAAACAGCUCAGCGCUGCCUUUAUCUGUAGGCCCACAGAGGUGAUACAGUGCAGGGAAUGCUUCAGCGGCUCUGAAACGAGGCCAGCAUCGGGCUGGAGGGCAGCAGCUGCUUUCUGCUGCGUGUUGUCACUGUGUGUGCUGCAGUCCUCUGCUUCUGACCAGAAAGGAGGGCAGCAGAGGUUUGGCUGAGUCAGAGGAGGUUCAUGGAGCGCUGUCUGCUGCCCAUCCUCAUGUGCGUGGCAGUGUCCUCCAGGUGUCGGCCCGGCUGCUGGGGGAGGACCCGGCCAUUGAGUCUCCCACACUGCAGUUUACCACAGGUUGGCGAAGCGGGACGAAGGAAGAGACCCCCGCGGUCCCCGGG
ensembl:lncRNA